rnacentral:rRNA from 1 species
AGUGAACGCUGGCGGUAGGCCUAACACAUGCAAGUCGAACGGCAGCACAAUAAGAGCUUGCUCUUACGGGUGGCGAGUGGCGGACGGGUGAGGAAUACAUCGGCAUCUACUUUUUCGUGGGGGAUAACGUAGGGAAACUUACGCUAAUACCGCAUACGACCUACGGGUGAAAGCAGGGGAUCUUCGGACCUUGCGCGAUUGAAUGAGCCGAUGUCGGAUUAGCUAGUUGGCGGGGUAAAGGCCCACCAAGGCGACGAUCCGUAGCUGGUCUGAGAGGAUGAUCAGCCACACUGGAACUGGGACACGGUCCAGACUCCUACGGGAGGCAGCAGUGGGGAAUAUUGGACAAUGGGCGCAAGCCUGAUCCAGCCAUACCGCGUGGGUGAAGAAGGCCUUCGGGUUGUAAAGCCCUUUUGUUGGGAAAGAAAAGCAGCAGGUUAAUACCCCGCUGUUCUGACGGUACCCAAAGAAUAAGCACCGGCUAACUUCGUG